CCUACGGGUGGCAGCAGUCGAGAAUCAUUCACAAUGGGGGAAACCCUGAUGGUGCGACGCCGCGUGGGGGAAUGAAGGUCUUCGGAUUGUAAACCCCUGUCAUGUGGGAGCAAAUUAAAAAGAUAGUACCACAAGAGGAAGAGACGGCUAACUCUGUGCCAGCAGCCGCGGUAAUACAGAGGUCUCAAGCGUUGUUCGGAAUCACUGGGCGUAAGGCGUGCGUAGGCUGUUUCGUAAGUCGUGUGUGAAAGGCGCGGGCUCAACCCGAGGACGGCAGAUGAUACUGCGAGACUAGAGUAAUGGAGGGGGGACCGGAAUUCUCGGUGUAGCAGUGAAAUGCGUAGAUAUCGAGAGGAACACUCGUGGCGAAGGCGGGUUCCUGGACAUUAACUGACGCUGAGGCACGAAGGCCAGGGGAGCGAAAGGGAUUAGAUACCCCUGUAGUC
rnacentral:rRNA from 1 species